AGGUUGAUCCAGGCUCAGCAUUUGCUGAGCUUGCCUCGCUGGAAUGUUAUCGGAGGACGGGUGAGUAACACGUGUGUAACCUGCCGUGUAAGAGUGGGUUGUACUCCGGGAAACCGGGGCUAAUCACCGGAUGCUUGAUUGAACCGCGAUGGUACAAUUAUAAAAGGUGGCUUUUAGCUACUCACUUACAGAUGGCGACCCGCGGUGAGCAUUAGCUAGUUGGUGAGGCUAACGGCUCACCAAGGCAACAAUGCGUAACCGACCAUAGAAAGUGUGAUCGCCCAGCACUGGGACUGAUGACUGACGGCACCAAACUCCUACGGGAUGUCAGCAGUCAAGAGAAUCUUCCGCAACUGGACGAAAGUCUGACGGAGCAACGCCCCGUGAGUGAUCAAGGGUUUCGGAUCGUAGAGCUCUGUUGUUAGGGAAGAACAAUUAACCGUUCAAAUAGGGCGGCACCUUGACGGUACCUAACCAUGAAAGCCACCUGCUAACUACGUGCCACCAGCCGACGGUAAUAUGUAAAUGGUAAGCGUUGUCAAGAAUUAUUGGGCGUAAAGCGCGCGGAAUCAGUUUCUAAAGUCUGAUGUGAAAGCCCCCGCGCUCAAUCGGGUACGGUCAUUGCGAAACUGCGGAACUUGAGUGCAGAAGAGGAGAGUGGAAUUCCACGCGUAACCUUGCAACGCGUAGAGAGGCGGAGAAACACCAGAGGCUAAGGCGACUCUCCGGUCUGUGACUGACGCUGAGGCGCGAAAGCGUGGGGGAGCGAAUAGGAUUAGAUACCCUGGUAGUCCACGCCUUAAACGAUAAGUGCAAAGUGUAAAAGGGUUUCCGCCACUUAAUGUUCCACCAAACUCACUAAGCACUCCGCCCGGGGAGUACGGUCCGCAAGACUGAAAUACAAAGGAUUUGACGGCAGCCGCACAAGCGGUGGAGCAUGGUGGUUUAAUACGAAGCAACGCGAAGAACCUGACCAGGUCUUGACACCCUCGGACAGCCCUAAAGAUAGGGCUUCGCCUUCGGGGGCACAGUGACAGGUGCUGCAUAGUUGUCGUCAGCUCGUGUCGUGAGAUGCUGGGUUAAGUACCGCGCUGAGCGCAACCCUUGAUCUUAGUUGCCAGCAUUCAGUUGGGCACUCUAAGGUGACUGCCGGUGACAAACCGGAGGAAGGUGGGGAUGACGUCAAAUCAUCAUGCCCCUUAUGACCUGGGCUACACACGUGCUACAAUGGGCAGAACAAAGGGCAGCGAAGCCGCGAGGCUAAGCCAAUCCCACAAAUCUGUUCUCAGUUGGGGAUCGCAGUCUGCCAACUCCGACUGCGUGAAG
rnacentral:rRNA from 1 species